rnacentral:rRNA from 1 species
GAUGAACGCUAGCGGCAGGCUUAAUACAUGCAAGUCGUGGGGCAGCAUGAGUGUAGCAAUACAUUUGAUGGCGACCGGCAAACGGGUGCGGAACACGUACACAACCUUCCUAUAAGUGGGGAAUAGCCCAGAGAAAUUUGGAUUAAUACCCCGUAACAUAACGAUGUGGCAUCACAUUGUUAUUAUAGCUUCGGCGCUUAUUGAUGGGUGUGCGGCUGAUUAGAUAGUUGGCGGGGUAACGGCCCACCAAGUCUACGAUCAGUAGCUGAUGUGAGAGCAUGAGCAGCCACACGGGAACUGAGACACGGGCCCGACUCCUACGGGAGGCAGCAGUAAGGAAUAUUGGUCAAUGGACGCAAGUCUGAACCAGCCAUGCCGCGUGAAGGAUUAAGGUCCUCUGGAUUGUAAACUUCUUUUAUCUGGGACGAAAAAAGGCUUUUCUAAGUCACUUGACGGUACCAGAUGAAUAAGCACCGGCUAACUCCGUGCCAGCCGCCGCCGUAAUAC